rnacentral:rRNA from 1 species
GCGGCGGACGGGUGAGUAACACGUGGGCAACCUGCCUGUAAGACUGGGAUAACUCCGGGAAACCGGGGCUAAUACCGGAUAAUUCUUUCCCUCACAUGAGGGAAAGCUGAAAGAUGGUUUCGGCUAUCACUUACAGAUGGGCCCGCGGCGCAUUAGCUAGUUGGUGAGGUAACGGCUCACCAAGGCAACGAUGCGUAGCCGACCUGAGAGGGUGAUCGGCCACACUGGGACUGAGACACGGCCCACACUCCUACGGGAGGCAGCAGUAGGGAAUCUUCCGCAAUGGACGAAAGUCUGACGGAGCAACGCCGCGUGAGUGAUGAAGGUUUUCGGAUCGUAAAACUCUGUUGUUAGGGAAGAACAAGUACCGGAGUAACUGCCGGUACCUUGACGGUACCUAACCAGAAAGCCACGGCUAACUACGUGCCAGCAGCCGCGGUAAUACGUAGGUGGCAAGCGUUGUCCGGAAUUAUUGGGCGUAAAGCGCGCGCAGGCGGUUCCUUAAGUCUGAUGUGAAAGCCCCCGGCUCAACCGGGGAGGGUCAUUGGAAACUGGGGAACUUGAGUGCAGAAGAGAAGAGUGGAAUUCCACGUGUAGCGGUGAAUGCGUAGAGAUGUGGAGGAACCCAGUGGCGAAGGCGACUCUUUGGUCUGUAACUGACGCUGAGGCGCGAAAGCGUGGGGAGCAAACAGGAUUAGAUACCCUGGUAGUCCACGCCGUAAACGAUGAGUGCUAAGUGUUAGAGGGUUUCCGCCCUUUAGUGCUGCAGCAAACGCAUUCAGCACUCCGCCUGGGGAGUACGGCCGCAAGGCUGAAACCUCAAGGAAUUGA